rnacentral:rRNA from 4 species
UCUUCUAGUGUCUCCUCUGAGUGGCAUAAGCAAAAAUAAACAAAACUUUCAGCAACGGAUCUCUUGGUUCUGGCAUCGAUGAAGAACGCAGCGAAAUGCGAUAAGUAAUGUGAAUUGCAGAAUUCAGUGAAUCAUCGAAUCUUUGAACGCACAUUGCGCCCGCCAGUAUU